ensembl:rRNA 5S_rRNA 5S ribosomal RNA
GUCUAUGGUCAUACCACCCUGAACAUGCCUGAUCUUGUCUGAUUUCGGAAGCUAAGCAGGGUUGGGCCUGGUUAGUACUUGGAUGGAGAAAAUAAGAUGGUCUUGGGGC